rnacentral:rRNA from 1 species
AACGAACGCUGGCGGCAGGCUUAACACAUGCAAGUCGAGCGCCCACUUCGGUGGGAGCGGCAGACGGGUUAGUAACGCGUGGGAACCUACCUUGUAGUUCGGAAUAGCCUCGGGAAACUGGGAUUAAUACCGUAUACGCCCUUAGGGGGAAAGAUUUAUCGCUAUAAGAUGGGCCCGCGUUAGAUUAGUUUGUUGGUGGGGUAAUGGCCUACCAAGACUACGAUCUAUAGCUGGUCUGAGAGGAUGAUCAGCAACACUGGGACUGAGACACGGCCCAGACUCCUACGGGAGGCAGCAGUGGGGAAUAUUGGACAAUGGGCGAAAGCCUGAUCCAGCCAUGCCGCGUGAGUGAUGAAGGCCCUAGGGUUGUAAAGCUCUUUCACCGGUGAAGAUAAUGACGGUAACCGGAGAAGAAGCCCCGGCUAACUUCGUGCCAGCAGCCGCGGUAA